rnacentral:lncRNA from 1 species
GGGGGGGCAAGGGGUUUAACUGUUAUGCUGUUAUGGGGUUAUUUAAUUCUUUGUUAUCUGUUAUUCUGAAAAUUUAUUUGCUGUUAGCUGUUAUUGUCAUAUUCCUUGUUAGCUGUUAUGAGACUAUUAUUUUUAUUGUUAUCUGUUAUUGUGAGAUUGUAUUUAUUGUUAACUGUUAUUGAAAAUUGGAAUGUUAGCAUUUUGACAGCCAAUCUUAAGUAGAAAUUGAAGAUAAUUGAACAUUGUGACUUGGUUUGAGAGUUGUCUCAUUGGCACUUAUACCUGCACAUCUUUUAUAUCUAUUGUGGUCAUUCCACUGGUGAUAUGGAAGUCACGUAUUUGCAGGAUUCCAGUAACAUACACC